rnacentral:antisense_RNA from 12 species
AAUAACCAAAUAUAACACUUGGGCUAAGUGUUAAGUUGGUUAUUUUUCUUACAUCUCCACCCCCAGGAGCCCAGGUAUCAUAUACUCCCCCAAAAUAAAGAGCCUUAAGUACUAGAAGAAAAGCACCUAUACCUAACAAGAUUAAGUGAAUACCCAAAAUUGUGGUCAUUUUAUUUCUAUCUUUCCA